AAUGAGGUGCGCGCGCGAGACCUCAUUGUUGUGUUCGCGAGCGCAGGAGGUGGUGGUCUCACAGCAACCGCUGUUUGUUUAAUCGAUUAAUUUUCGGCCAUAACCCGAAUCUUAAUAGUUUGGUGUAAAAUAAAAUGAGUUACGGUAGACCUCCGCCUGAUGUAGAAGGCAUGACUUCGUUAAAGGUAGAUAAUUUAACGUAUCGCACAUCGCCGGAGACGCUGAGGCGCGUCUUUGAAAAGUACGGCCGAGUCGGGGACGUUUAUAUCCCUCGAGACCGAUACACGAAAGAAAGCAGAGGUUUCGCAUUCGUGCGCUUUCACGACAAGAGGGAUGCAGAAGAUGCGAUGGACGCCAUGGAUGGAGCGAUCUUGGAUGGACGAGAACUUCGGGUUCAGAUGGCCCGCUACGGUAGGCCGCCCGACUCGUACUAUGGUGGACGUCGCGGCGGCGGGGGACCCGCGAGGAGACACGGCGGACAUGGCCGCCGCAGCAGCCGAAGCCCAAGACGUCGCCGACGCAGCCGUUCCAGAAGCAGGAGCCGUUCACGUUCCCGCAGCCGCUCCCGUUACAGCAGAUCACGGUCACGCUCCUAUUCACGCUCCCGAUCUCGCUCCAAGUCGCAUAGCCCUCGUAAGAGGAAGUCCAAGUCUCCCUCCAAGUCUAGGUCCCGUUCAAGAUCCAAAUCCAGGUCUCGUUCCAGAAGCCGCACACCUGCGUCGAACAGAGAGUCCAAGUCCAGGUCAAGAUCUAAAAGCCAACCAAAAUCUGCUGGCGAGGAAGCGCCCACAUCAUCCUAAAUGCUCACAGUGGUAAGAAUCCACCUCACUUUACUUCUCUAAAAUUUAAAGUUAAAGUGAUUUACAGCAAGCUCUUAAAUGUCAGAAAUGGUUUUUUAAAAUUCUAGCUUACAGACAGAGCCUUCCACACAAUGGAUGCAUCACAUCUGUGUGGCUCUCUAUGGAAAGUGAGCUCCCACUUAAAACAAUGAUUUGGUUAUUUAUUAGCUUUAAAUAUCACAAUGGUUAUAUUGCAGAGCAGGUUUAUGGUUCUGCUUUGACAUGCUAUGAUUGGUGUUGAACUCAAUGUGGAAUUGUUUCCUCCAAGCUGCUGAAUCCAGUAUGGAAAUGUAAAAGCAGGGGUGUGAGGUGAAGUUUUGGCUGUUAGAGGUGUGUGUGAUCCAGCCACCUGCUCCUGUUGGGGUUGCAUUGGAGCAGAUGGGUGUUUUGAUGGUGCUGAGGUCGAUUUCGUCAUGGGACGUUUCUAAACACAUGACCUCUGUUGGAGCCUGAGGAACCUCGGAUUGAGAAUCUCCAAAAUCUACACAAAGCCUACUUGGGCCUAAAGGUCAUUAUGACUGAUUGGCAUAUAAACGAACUGUUUGAUUGUUUCACAGCCCUUUUGUUCUUUGAAUAAAUACAUUGUCCUUAUUUUCAGUGAGGAUGUUUUAAAUGUCUAUGUCCUUUUUUUUAAUUCGUUGAGUAGGACGAACGUCACAAUUCUAUUGGCCUUUAAGGUAAACCCAGUGUCUCGGUGAUGGUUCAGAAGGUGUUAGAUGCACCUCACUUGUGUAAUAUUUUUGCAAGACGCUGUUUAGUAUAUUCAGCUUGGCUUUUUUGUUGUUUUGCUUUAAAAAGAUGAUCCUUAUGCUAUCUUGAAAUGGCUCAAAAUAUGAAGUUUUUUCUUUCUAAUCAACAUAUAUGAUGUUGAUGCGUGAUUGUAACACUUCUUGUAUUUUACUUUAUUUUAGUUUUUUGACAUUUGGAUUCUAACCCCAUGUCUUGUGUAUUUUUUGUGCACUAGGCGCAGUUGUCUAGCUGUUGAGUAUUGCGGUUAGCUGUUAAGAUCCGGUGUUGCAGUGCUUGGCUGUUUCCGGUUUUCUCCAGAUUGCAGCUGUUGCAGGUGUGGCCGAGGUCAAACAGCAUCUGCAGAUAGAUGUUUGGUGGUUUAUGCAAUGUUGUCAAUUAAAGUUCUUUCAUUCUUGUUCCAUGAUUUGGAAAAUUGGGAGUACCACUUGCUGAUAUAACCAGGAAGUCAUAACAAUACAAUUUGUUCUGUCAUUUCAUUUUUGAAUCCUCAAUAAAUCGAAUAAUAAAGUAA